CCUACGGGGGGCAGCAGUGGGGAAUAUUGGACAAUGGGGGGAACCCUGAUCCAGCCAUGCCGCGUGUGUGAAGAAGGCCCUCGGGUGGUAAAGCACUUUCAGUGAGGAAGAACGCCUGGUGGUUAAUACCCAUCAGGAAAGACAUCACUCACAGAAGAAGCACCGGCUAACUCCGUGCCAGCAGCCGCGGUAAUACGGAGGGUGCGAGCGUUAAUCGGAAUUACUGGGCGUAAAGCGCGCGUAGGUGGCUUGAUAAGCCGGUUGUGAAAGCCCCGGGCUCAACCUGGGAACGGCAUCCGGAACUGUCAAGCUAGAGUACAGGAGAGGAAGGUAGAAUUCCCGGUGUAGCGGUGAAAUGCGUAGAGAUCGGGAGGAAUACCAGUGGCGAAGGCGGCCUUCUGGACUGACACUGACACUGAGGUGCGAAAGCGUGGGUAGCAAACAGGAUUAGAUACCCUUGUAGUC
rnacentral:rRNA from 1 species